AAAAUAAUUUGCAGCCUUAUGAAUAUGUAUAUUAUGUAUAUAAACUACGAGAAAAUACAAGCAAAAAGUAUUUUAGUUGGCGUUUUUGCUGGCUUUGCUUCGUGUUAUAUUAAAUGCUUUUUGGAGUUUUGGUAAAGUUAAAAAAAUUAUUCAAAUCGUUUAAAUAUAGAAAAUAAAACUAUUUUAAAAUAUUUUUAAAAAAUGUAAAAAAUAUAUUUCGUAAAACUAAGACAAAAUGCAAUUAAGAAAUAAUUGUUGUUUGUGUGCAGAGUUUUCGUUUCCUAUUGCUAUUUAUUUCUAUUAGUUUCGAGUCAUUGCGAACUAUUUAGUAACUAGAACUUCACUCCUAUAUCACUCAAUUUUUAAUUUACAAUUGUUUUAUUCAUACUCAGUGAUAAAACAAUUAUAGAGAGAGAAAGAAUGGAAGAAAUAUGACGCUAUGACACUAGGUAGUCACUUCACUGUAUAUGCAUUAAUGAGGCUCUUUUUUUCAAGCGCUGGUGGCGAGUUCGAACUUUGUCGAUACCUUUCGAGCUCUUCUCACCUAACCCUUAAGGUGUUAAGAGUAUAGAAGUUUCACUCCUAUUAACCAUAAAUAUACGUAAGAAUUAAAUUUAAUUAAGAUUCUGUAGUAUAAUUUUUGUAAGCUUGGAAUACCUUUACUCAUAUAGAUCCAUCAAAAAUUGCGUCAUACCCCGUUGCAUCAACGUAAUUAACUGACAUUAAAGUAUACUGAAUGCAUAACGGGUUUUUUUAUAGACGUGUGGCAAUACUUUUUAUGCUGUUGGUCUUUUUGACAGCUGUUGACUUAAACUCAGUUUGGUUUGCCAUUUUAUAAUAAAAAGACCGUUCGCAAAUUGUGUAAAAUUUAAUAUCAAAAUAAUAGUUCGGUUCGCGCGACGCAUGUUGUGGCCUUAGAAGAUCGUGUGAUUUAAGGCUGUUGACUUUUUUGUGGGGUCAUAUUAAGUCGCUGGUCUACACAGCCACUAGCCUCGAAAAAAAAUAUUCGGCUCGUUACACUGACAUACGGGCGCAAUUGCGACAAAAAAGUGGUCGAAAAUUGGACCUCUUGGCUGAAUUCGAGCCAGCCGCGGCGGCACUUGUCUGAAAUCAUUUUUAAAACAUAAUGGCAAUCCCUUUUUUUGAAUUAAAGCUAAUUUCUUGGCCAUAACACUAAAUUAUACGUUUUAUUUCCUUUUAAAAACCACAUAUCUAAAAAACACCAUUUAUUUAAAUGCUUUAUAUAUGCCCACGGAUGCACAAACGCGACGUAGAUAAUUGUCAAUUUUGUUGGUUUUCGCCGACAUGCAUGUCAGUUAUGCGUCACACUCAAUUUGAAUAGCCACCGGCUACAUUAGAACAAGUUUGGAAUCACCUAAAAGAUAAUGCCUGGACUAAAUAUAACUUAUCAAUAUUAAAAGUUUAGAUAAUAGACCAUAAAGGCCUUGAUACUUCAUGUUUAGUAAAAUUCUUCCCGAAUAUUUAUUAAGUGCAGCGCAUAUUUGUCGUGCGCACGGAACUGCAUGAAACGCAUGUUGGAACUCUGAGAGAGUUCAGUUAUGCUCUUGAUGCUGGGAAAGAAUCUAACAAACGGAAGCAGAAGAGAAUAUUCUUUGUUUAGGCGUAUAUGUGUGUAUUUUAGAGUUCUACUCACUUGAACAUUGUUUGCACGGCGACGAUGGUGUUGCAAUCGGCCAGCGAAUCCUCCUCCGCCGAGUUGGACAGUUCCUUGUUCACCACCACCACACUCUCGGCAAGGGUAAUGCCGGCACGCAGCAGGUCAUCCAAGCAGUCGAUGGAACCGAGCAUCCAAUAAACCUAUAUGUGGAAAAAAGUGAGGAAAUUAAUUUUUAAGCAUGAAUGAAAGUCAAUUUCGGCUGCACCGAAGGUGGUUUCUUUUA